rnacentral:rRNA from 1 species
UAAAGAUUAAGCCAUGCAUGUAUCAGUACAAGCCAAGCUAAGGUGAAACCGCGAAUGGCUCAUUAAAUCAGUUAUUAUUUACUGGCCGAGACAGUGAUACAUGGAUAACUGUGGUAAUUCUAGAGCUAAUACAUGCAACCGAGCCCCAGUCCUGGCUCUCGGGCCAGGCGGGGCGCUUUUAUUGGCUGAAAACCGAUGAUCGCCCUCGCGGCGGUCGUUAUUCGAUGAAUCACAAUAACAUUGUGUGGAUCGUAUGGUCUUGUACCGACGACGCGCCUUUCAAAUAUCUGCCUUAUCAGCUCUCGACGGUUUGCUAGUGGCUGACCGUGGCUCUGACGGGUAACGGGGAAUCUGGGUUCGGUUCCGGAGAGGGAGCCUGAGAGAUGGCUACCACAUCU